UACGUAGGGCGCAAGCGUUGUCCGGAAUUAUUGGGCGUAAAGAGCGCGCAGGCGGUCGUUCAAGUCGAGUGUGAAAGCCCCCCGGCUCAACUGGGGAGGGUCACUCGAUACUGAUCGACUGGAAGGCAGGAGAGGGAAGCGGAAUUCCCGGUGUAGUGGUGAAAUGCGUAGAUAUCGAGAGGAACACCGGUGGCGAAGGCGGCCUUCUGGACAGUGACUGACGCUGAGACGCGAAAGCGUGGGGAGCAAACAGG
rnacentral:rRNA from 1 species